rnacentral:misc_RNA from 1 species
AAGUCGUAACAAGGUUUCCGUAGGUGAACCUGCGGAAGGAUCAUUAACACAAUAGUCCAUUUGAUGAUGGUUUAAGAUGUUUUUCACUAUUGAGAAUUAUUUCUCAAAAUGAAACAUUUUCCAUCAUUCAAACCAAUUAGCAAAUGAGUUGAAGUCCUCAUUAUUAAUUAACUUUAAUAAUUGUGUGGAAUAAGACAAAUGUAAUCACGUUUUAAUGAGUUCCUAAUAGAAUUCAUUCGACUAAUGUUUACUUAUAUCAUAAAUAUAACCAAGACAACUUGUAACAGUGGAUACCUUGGUUCCCAG